UAAGGAAUAUUGGACAAUGGAGGCAACUCUGAUCCAGCCAUGCCGCGUGAAGGAAUAAGGCCCUAUGGGUUGUAAACUUCUUUUAGACGGGACAAAACCCCUUUACGUGUAAAGGGUUGAUGGUACUGUCAGAAUAAGCAUCGGCUAACUUCGUGCCAGCAGCCGCGGUAAUACGAAGGAUGCAAGCGUUAUCCGGAAUUAUUGGGUUUAAAGGGUGCGUAGGUGGGCUUAUAAGUCAGUGGUGAAAUCUCCGAGCUUAACUUGGAAACUGCCGUUGAUACUAUAGGUCUUGAAUUAUCUGGAGGUAAGCGGAAUAUGUCAUGUAGCGGUGAAAUGCUUAGAUAUGACAUAGAACACCAAUUGCGAAGGCAGCUUACUACAUAUAAAUUGACGCUGAGGCACGAAAGCGUGGGGAUCAAACA
rnacentral:rRNA from 1 species